CCUACGGGAGGCAGCAGUAGGGAAUAUUGCUCAAUGGGGGAAACCCUGAUGCAGCAACGCCGCGUGGAGGAUGAAGGUUUUCGGAUUGUAAACUCCUUUUGUUAGGGAAGAUGAUGACGGUAUCUGACGAAUAAUCACCGGCUAACUCCGUGCCAGCAGCCGCGGUCAUACGGAGGGUGCAAGCGUUACUCGGAAUCACUGGGCGUAACGAGCGCGUAGGUGGGAUAGCAAGUCAGAGUUGAAAUCCUAGGGCUUAACCAGAGAACUGCAUUUGAAAAUGUUAGGCUAGAGUAUGGGAGAGGUAGGUGGAAUUCCUGGUGUAGGGGUAAAAUGCGUAGAGAUCAAGAGGAAUACUGAUUGCGAAGGCGACCUGCUAGAACAUAACUGACGCUGAUGCGCGAAAGCGUGGGGAGCAAACAGGAUUAGAUACCCGAGUAGUC
rnacentral:rRNA from 1 species